rnacentral:rRNA from 1 species
GAUGAACGCUGGCGGCGUGCCUAAUACAUGCGAGUCGAGCGAACAGACGAGGAGCUUGCUCCUCUGACGUUAGCGGCGGACGGGAGAGUAACACGUGGAUAACCUACCUAUAAGACUGGGAUAACUUCGGGAAACCGGAGCUAAUACCGGAUAAUAUAUUGAACCGCAUGGUUCAAUAGUGAAAGACGGUUUUGCUGUCACUUAUAGAUGGAUCCGCGCCGCAUUAGCUAGUUGGUAAGGUAACGGCUUACCAAGGCAACGAUGCGUAGCCGACCUGAGAGGGUGAUCGGCCACACUGGAACUGAGACACGGUCCAGACUCCUACGGGAGGCAGCAGUAGGGAAUCUUCCGCAAUGGGCGAAAGCGUGACGGAGCAACGCCGCGUGAGUGAUGAAGGUCUUCGGAUCGUAAAACUCUGUUAUUAGGGAAGAACAAAUGUGUAAGUAACUAUGCACGUCUUGACGGUACCUAAUCAGAAAGCCACGGCUAACUACGUG